CUUCUUCCAACUGUUUUUCUGUGUUCCACAGUUCAGCACAUCCUACCUGUACCUGCAUAGGAUAGAGGCAAUUAAAGUCUGGUAAUGACACGCUGAGGCAGCCCCAGGAGCAGCAGACACACAAAAUGGCACACAUCCACCUUGGGGGAAUCUUGACUUUGAAUGUGUACAGCCAGGUGUCUCUCCCCAGAGGAGGAGGGGGACAGAACCAGCAACGGGAAAUUUGGGAGAGCCUGGGUGAGGGUAAGGUGGUAGAUCUAAUUAGGACUUGGCCAUGAAGCACCAGGAUGUUAUCAACAAGAUCACAAGCAAAGGUGGAUUAAGAAAAAUAUGAACAGCAAGUCUGGGAAGAAAUGUGGCUGUCCCAGCUCAGAGGCAGAGCUGUGGCAUGGAGCACUGCUGCUCACGUAUCAGAACUAUCCAUGGCACAAAAAGCAGGAGCGUGAGCUAUCUGAUUUUAUGUGAAAGUCCUUUAGAUUCCAAUUUCUAAAAGCGCAAUCGGAUCACUUACUGCCACAAAGUUUACAGUAGGUGUGAGUGUGAAGGUUCCUUACAGAAGGAAAGAGACCUCAGUUGAACAGAACACAGGAAAACACUGAAAGAAGAAUUGAAGCAAAUAUCUGACUUGGUAAUAAUACUGAUGAACUACAUUUAAAAACAUUUUUUAAUUAUUAUUUGUAAGCUGGAAGCAUAUAACCUAUUACUGUUUAUAGAAGGAAGUUUUCAUAUUCUGUGACAGAAUUUAAAUUAAAAUCCUCGCUACGGUGUCAUUCUGAUAAUAUUUUAAUUCUGGGACUGUUGCCAUCGUACAUUUAUAACACAGAAAUUUUUGCAAGUGGAAGAGCUAUCCAUAGUAGUCAACAGACUGAGUUAUGCGUGUGAUACUGCAGCUAUCUAUUACUUUAAUAUGCUAAGUAGGAUUUCACUGUAGCUGCUAGUAUGGAAAAUCUUGACUUUUAAAACACAGUAUGUUAACAGAUUGGAGGGAACAAUCCUGUUUGUUCUUUUACACUGAAUAUUUUCAUGGUUUGACGUUAGAUAUUCCCCUGCUAAGAAAACUGCUGUUGUUUACAUAAUGCUGAACUUGGGUUACCCUGCAGGGAGUUCAUGACACACAAGCCAAGCGUUUUAAUAAUUGUAACAACUAAAUAUGAUGGUGUUUAAUAUUCUUACAUUCAUAAUGAAGCUCUGUUGACUAUUGAGUCUGUUAACUCUUUUCUAAAAUGUCUGCUGCAGUGGAACAAAAUGCACCUUUUUCCUUUGUAUUAAGAUCAAUGAAAAACAGAAUUCAAGGACAGUCUACAUCAGAGCUAUUACCAGCACUCUACAAAUUUGCAAAACAUAAGACGAUGGAUCUGUUAUUUUAGUGCUGUACAGAACCAGCAAGGUAAUCUCUAAGUUCAACGUUUAAACAAUAAGUACAAUAAAAGCAUUGAGAGAUUUUCAUUUGCAUGCCUUUAGAGUCUAUUGAAAUUAAGAAACUGGUAUCCAUUGAAAUUCAGAAACUGGCAUUUUAUUUCUUUUAUUUAUAUUUAUACAUACGUAUUAUUAUUUUCUCUAUGUGUAUUUACUGUAUUUCAUUUUAUAACAUCUAAUUGCUGAAAUUCUAUCUUCUGCACUACAUCAGUGAGCAGCUACAGCAGUACUUUGGGUUUUGUUGUGUUUCGUUGUUCAUUUUUUUAUUAUGACAGCAGAUGAAUAGGUAAAUUGGUUAUCUAACAGCUGUUUUACACUUUCAAUUUACCAGUCUUUGAUGAUGUCUUGUUUUGAAGGCUAUUUUCCUGACUAAGACACUGUAUACAACCCCUCUGUAUUUUUGUAACGUGUAACUCAACUUUUUAAUUUGUUGGUAAUUACUCUUAAAUGACUGUUUGCUGAGCUAGCUAAAGAAAUGUAAGAAGUCAUUCCACCUGUGGCAAAACUCAGAGCUCCUGCAGUACAAUCAGUACCAGCUAAGGAGCUGAAUUAAAAAAUGUUCAGAGGGAUAUUCUCACAAGUUAAGCUACUUUGGAGAGGAUGAAAUAUAGGUCAGAUAACCUGGCACUGUAAGACUGACAGUGUAAUGCUAUGAAAGUGAAAUGUGAUUGUAAAUUCCCUUUUUGUUGCAGCCGCUGGUUGCUAGUACAGCCCACACCAGGAUUUAAGUGCAUGCACAGUCACUGUGCUGAGGAGGUGUAUGGGUAUGGGCUCAGACAUUUUCCUUGCCAGCCACACUGGCAUAAUUGUAUAGCUCCCUGCAGUGGCCAAUUCCGGAUGGUUGCCACAUGGCAUGUGUGCCUGAUUCCAGCUGCACUUCAUCUCCUGCAUUCACAUGCAUUGCAGUGUUUCGGUAAAGAACCAAUCAAGUCAUCUGGCAGGGUAUUCCCAUUUCACUUCCAGAACAAAGCAUGCCACUUGGCACACAUGAACACCUGCCCCAGGAGAGCAGCUGAGCGACCACAUGUGGUGGGAGCUGUGUCCCUAAUCCCUUACAACAUACCUACAGACCAUGGCAGGAGAUGCAAUAUAAAAAUAUAAAAAUAUGUGUUAAAUAAAAUUGCUUCAAAUACUGUCUGCUCCCCCAGGACUUCAUGGGUAUUUUGUUAUUGACUUCAAAUUCAUCUAGAAUUCUGCCCAUGCUAUUUCAAGGUAAUUGGAAAGUUUUCUUGAACGUGUAUAUCAAAAUUGGACUAAAGUCUUUUUCUUCUUUUUCUUUUAAAUGAAGGCUUUUGCUGUAUUUAACUACAUAAUUGUACUUGUUACCACUGUAGUAUCAAACUGAAGAAGGAAACUCCUGUUGCUGCUGAAUACAGGACUGGUCACCUCUCCAAAGCUUUUAAGUCCUAUGAGAUUUUAUAGCUGUAUCAAAACUCACCUGAUCAAAAUCCGCACUAAAAUAUCCAAGUGUCAUAUGUCUCCGCAUCUGUGUCCACUGACUCCUUAUUUUUAGUCCUCACCAGUGUAGGUACAUGUGGAUUUUCUUAUUUAUUACCUUAAUUAAGUUUAUUAUAGCUCAAGAUAUGUUUAGCAAAUUGUAAUUACUAGUAUUUCUUUAUAUAUAACAAUGGUUUUCAUCAAUCCAUCUUUUCAUUCCCAAUUCCUCAGACAUGUUUCUGGCACUCCCUUAGAGUACAAAAUAUAAUUACAAGUCAUUCAGUAAUUUUAUUAGUUAAUUCUCAGAAGACUAUGGGAUCCAUAUCUUCUAGACUUGUUCAUCUUUAUAUAUUCUGUUUCUUAAUGUAUUCCCUUACCUGCCAGAUCGCCAGAUAUAGUGACAUAAUCUUCAUUACUUAAUUAUAAUUAUUAGUCAAGGGGUUUCUACUCUACACAUACAGCUUCCAAACAACAUGUCUUGAACAGAUAAGCAACAGGUUUAAAAAAUAAACCAUUUGACACUAGGAAUAUUUUGUGCUGGCCAUCUAAGAGCAGUAAGAGAAUAAAUAGUCAUUUGUUAUCUGGAGAAUGCUGUGUAGCGAACAACAGAAUAAAGGCUGUAGGUGAAUCUGUUGCUGAAUUAUAUUCACUUUUGAAUGCACUGCAAUUCAAAGUACUUUUUUUUCCUUCAUAGGUACAUGCAUGCAUCAUUUAUAUGUAUAUAAAAAAUAAAAAAUGUUUGUAUGUUCCUUUUGUGGGCUGGGGGGUUUUCUUGGAGAGGAAAUAAUAAAGGCCAGAGGGGAGGGGGAAAGCUUGAAGUUCCAGUGAAGCCUAAUUUGCAAACAAUUUGCACUAGUAGCUAUAAAUUUCACUCCAGAGAUUUCCAGGUGCUUGGUGCAAGUCUAUACAUGGAGCAUUUCCCAGGAGAUGAAGCUUGAUGGCUGCAUUAAAAUGAAUCAGAGGCCUUAUCUCAAUGCAGGGUAUUUGCAUAUCUCCUCUUCAUGAAUCUUUACUUCACGGAUGUGUCUUUUUCUUUUGUGCUGCCCUCAGUUUUUUUGUUUGUUUGUUUGUUUGUUUUUAAGAAUGCAGAUAAAUAGACUUUCUAUUAAUGAGUUGCAAUAAAUUGCAAUGAAUUUCUUGACAUCCAUUUCAUGACUGUACUUGUCUUCUAUGGACACGGUUCUUUAAUUGAGUUUACCAUACAUUUGAAGGUAUUCUUGAAAUCAGAGUCCUUGGCACCAUGCAUUCCUGCUGUGGGACAUCCACCAUCCACAUCUUCUCAGCUUACACGGAAAAGAUGAGUGCUAUCUCAUUCUUUACCUUGGAAACUAGACUCAAUAAGAUUUUGGUUGUUUUUUUGUUGGUUUUUUUUUUUCAGAACACUGAGACUAACUGUGGCACACUCAUAAUGUUAUCUCUCAAUAUAGCCCCCUGUCAAACAAGAUCUUUGUGCCAGCUCCUGGAGAAGUCCUGUCAACAGCACUCCAAUCUUGAAUUAUUCUUGACCUCCUUUUCCUAUUUCCUUCUGUCAAAAUCUAAAUGCUACAGAUUGUCAAAGGUCUUACGGGCAGAAUGGACCAUCCUGUGCAGAGCUGUCUGUACUCAGAGUGAGAAUUUCACCUGGGUUUUUUUAAUGGGUCACUGUAGUUGGCGGCAAACCAGAAGCUAUGUGAUACGUUUCACUUCUCCGUGGUGCUGGUUUAAAGAGCAGAAAAUAAGUAACUGAUGAGCAGAACUCUAGAGCUCACUGGAAAGUUGCCACAAUAUGCGGAGAUUUUAAUGGCCUUUCCUUUGUCAGGGACACCUUACUCCUCCGAGCAAGAGGUGCUGGGCUGGUGCCAAGCCCAGGGGAAACCAGCAAAGUCCCUGCAAGCAGCAGCAAAGCUGAAAGUUGUCUUGGUAGGUCUCUCGACAUCCCAGAUUGCUGGAAUGAAGUUUCAUGGUUCGGCUCCUAUUUUCAGCAGGUUUUAUCUCUUCACACAGGAGGAAAUUGCUAGACCAAGACAGGGAUUUGUUCCUGCUUUAUGUUCAUGUUCAGCCUGGGAAGCUGAAGUCUUCCAAGGUAGCAACCAAGUGAGUUUUAUCUUCUUCUCAGUGUCUACAGCAGCUUCUGUAGAAAGUAUUAUCUGUUUAGGGGAUUUAGAGAUUAACAGCAUGGCCAGAGUGUAUACUGUCUCAGGACACACAGAUUAAGUGUGAGGAAAUACUGGCUUCCUCUCAGUUUUAUCCUUCCAGCUCUAGAUCCACAAUGAAUGGAGAGAGUGGCGCUGGGGAAUGAAAUGAGGGACGGGUGUUCACUGUCAGCUAGCUGGGUUUCUGUGACAUGGAGCAGCCAUCAGGGACAGGAUUGCAGAUAAUGAUGAAGGCUUUAUUAUUGACAGAGCCUUUGUCUUUAUCCUUUUGCCCUGGACAGUAGUGAAUAAACAAGUAAAAUGUGAACACUGUGAAAAAUAACGAUGCUAUCCUGAAUUUUAAGAGCCUCACAUGCUAGUUCAGAAGGCAAUGAUCCCAGCUGCCAGAAUAUCCAUCGAGUCCUAGGUAUCUCCUGCAAUGCAAUUAUGCUGGCUCACUAGAAAAAUAUUCUGUACAUUUGGAGCUAAAGGACAAUAUAAUAAAUGACUGCAGUGAGCUACAUUGCUAUUGCAUCAGAUUACAUUUGAAUCCUCUACAAGUGGAUUUUCUGGUGUUGGAAAUCUGCCCUUCAGGAUCUCAUUGUCCUCUUGUUUGUUUGCUCACGUCCUCCUUGAUACUGUAAUACUAGAGGAAAUCCAAGGUAGAUUAGAAGCAGCUGUUUCGAAACAAACAAACAGAACCUUUUGUCUAUUAGUUGUAAUCAUUUUUUUUCCAGGGAGUAAAAGCCAGCUGUCUGUUUCCAGAGAAGCAAAACUUCAGCAAAUGGUUGAACUUUUCACAAAUGGAAAAUUUGGAGCUAAAUCCAAGCAUGGUUUCAGGAAACUCUGGUAUUAGUAGAGCUUCGUUUCAUUCAGGGAACAAUGCUAAUUCCUGCAGUUUGUGAUACAGCCUCUAGCUCUAAAAUCUCUGAAUACUGCCACAAACAACAUUACAGCACCCACCUGGGGUGUGUCAAAGAUUUCUACAAGCCAGACAAUAAUAUAUCGAAAACAUCAUUUACGAUAAAUAAGCAAUGUUACAUAGUAGGACUAAAGCUUGAAAGGGAAAAUUGAAGCACAAAACUGUCUGGCACAGUGGAAAACUACAGUAUAAAUCAACUCCUGCUCUCACUUACAAUGGAUUUCCUGCUCUCACUUAAAGCAGGCAUACAGAAAGAUGUAAAUGGAAUGCAAACACUUAGGCCAUAUUUUACUCCUGUAGCUCCACUGACCAGAUGUAAGAUGUGCUGUAUGUUCUCUGAAGAGAGGGUUACAAAAUCUAGAUGUCAUAAUCUUAGCCUUCUCUUCAUGUUUACUUGUGUUUUAAAUAGUCCUGAAGUGUAAUUUCUGUAUCUUCUCUGCAGUUUCAUACUGGUCCAAAUAUACAAAUAAAGGUAUGUUUAUAUCAUGGAUUUAAAUUAAAGUUAGUUUGGUCAGGGUAGACUAGUAGGAUCUAAAAAAUGCCUUUGCAAAUGGAAACAAACUAAAAAGCAACCAGCCAAACAUAAAAAAACACCUGCCUUUAGUUCUACUUUACGUGUUUGUUUUGCACACACUUCAUAGUUAAAACGUUCACAUUCAUCCUGGGGUCUUAUAGAUCUUUACAGAUCUCUGGCACUCUUAACAUAUUACCACAAGGUGUUCGACUUAGCUAAAAGGAGUGAGUGUGUGAUGGCAUUGCCAAGUGUUAUGAGUCAAGUCAUACACAAAGUCUUACUGAGAGUCUCAUGAUUUUUAAAUAACCAUGUGAUUUGGAGAGGAGGCCCAAGACCCAGAAUGACUCCUAGACUGUUUGGAAUUGGCACUAUUAUAUUAAGGUGCCCAGAUUUGAAAUGAUGUGUAUUAUAAUGUAAAUUAUAAAUUUCUGAAUUAGAAUAUAGCACAUAUUUAUAUACAUGUUUAUGUAUGCCUGCUAUCAUUUUGGACCUUUGACAUAAUAAUUCAUGCUCAGAAGUUUAAGUGGAAACACGUAAUACUCGUUCAAAGGCUUUUGCUCAAACCAGUCAAUUACUGUGUCUGUAGUAAGCAACUGAGAGCAUCUUGGAAGCUCUCUCCUUAUCUUUGGCUAACCUGUGGUUUAUUUCAGGGGCUACAGUUAGGUGAUGUGACUGACAGCUCUCACUAACCCUCACCUAAGAAGUAUCAUCUCUUUAGGAAUUAAGAAUAGGCUUAGUCCUGCCAAAUCAAUUUCACUUGUGUUACGACCCAAGUUAUGAUUCUCAACAUUGGUUCUUACUGAAUGGAAAAGUGGAAAAGAGGAAUAACAACAAAGUAAUGUAAUCCCUCUCUGAAUGCCUUGUUGGGUCCUUGUUGGGGAACUUCCUCCCUCUGAAACUACCAGCUAUUUUGCAGAGCAGUCACAACCAGUGCUCUCUAAAACCAUGCACUGUCUGCUAUUCCCCAAAUUGUAACUCAUAUCUGUGAGACGGCAUUAGGUACGGCUAAGCCAAGCAAAAUCUGUUAAGAAUAUUAAAAGAGCAAUCCAGCUACUGUGAAAGAAAAACAACAUACUUCAGUUUGGGUUUUGGAGAACUGCAGAAAUCACUUUUACCACAUAUUGGAAUCAGAGUACGACUACACUCUGAAGUGCAAUAAAGCAACGCAGAGCUCCUCUGCUUGAAGUUCUGCCCUCCAACUUGAAGUCCUUCACCUGGGUGUCAAGGGUGUGCACAGCAAAGGGAUGAUCUGGAACUGUGGCUAAAGAUUAACUGGACUCAACAAAAGAAGAAAAAAAAUCUCUUUGAGCAAAAUAUUAACACAUCAGAUUGGCUGCAUUUUCUUCCAGAACUGUCUGCCUGUAGAGCAUAGUUACCAAUACAAAACUGGAGUUUACUCCGCUUUUUUUUUUCUUCUUGGAUUGUAUUAAAAGUAGAUCACAAUUUCAGACUUCAUCUCUCUGUCUUAACGAGCAGCGGGGACAUGAUGCAUGUGCAGGUUCUAAUUUAACCUAAUUAAAAAUAAGAAUAUUACCAGUGUCAGUAUGCGGCUUGAAAAAAUAAUUGCUUCAAAAAUUGUGUGUAAGAAAAAAUAAAUUGAAUUUAGAAAAUGAAAAAUGCAACACAAAAAGAUGUACUCUUUCUAAUAGCUCCUUUUACAGUAGCUAAUUAGCCUCUUAGGUUUUGAAAGCUGUUUAUGAAAUGUUCUGUCUGUAUUGAGGAGAUUUUUUUAUGUUCUUUUUAAUCAUUAAGUCUUCUCUCUUGGCUUUUUCUCUCCUUUGGAAUAUUCAGUUCUUCUUUCUUCCUUCUUCCCUUGGUCCUCAGGUUUGUCUGCUCUAAAACUGAAAUAGCGCUAAUAGUUUGGAUCUUCAUUCUGUGACUCUAUGAAUUCUGUGAAUCUGAUGCAAAGUUGCACACUUUCUGUGACUGGUUAAUUACUCCAAAUUACUUGAUUGUUAUAUAAACAGUUUUGCCUAUAAACUGUUUUACCAAGUGUCCAGACCUCAAGCUCAGGUGCUAUCCUUUCACGCGCGCAUGUGUGCACACAGCUUUUUGAUGAUAUUUUCUAGAGUAAUAUGUAUAGAUGUUAAAACAACAACAACAACAAAACAUGGUUUUAUAAGAGAUUUUAGUGACAGAAUACUGACAGAAGCUUUUUUCAGGUAUCAGCAAGCAGAUUCUUCUUAUUCCUGAGAAGCUAAAUCCAAUGAAAGACAAGAUUUUCUUCUCAGAUGUGGUGUGACUACAGGCUCUGUUAUUUUUUUAUGUUGUUCCACCAGUUUAGAUAAUCACAGCUGCUUAUUUAGUACAUAGUACUACAUCCUGUAGCAAAAUAAUGUUAACACAGUCAUUCUUAUGCCACUCAUGGGUCUGGUAUUAAGGAUACCAACAGAGGAACGAGGGUAUCCCUUUGCUUCUUGGUCUUUGCCUGCCACUGAGCUCCAAAGUGCAACAAGAGUUCAGCUGCCCUAAGUGAUAAUAAGGAAAGAAGUUUUACUGCAGGUUGUAGGUACUCAUUUAAGCGCUAUGUUGUGUGCUGUAAUUGCAGGCUGCAUUAGGUCACGCUUUCUCACAAGGCUUAUUCCAAACAGAAGUCAUUUCCAUUGGAUUGUCCUUGCAGCAGCAACGUAAAUGAACAAGCUUGGGCAGCUUUGCCAGAAAUAUCUAAAACUAGUUACUCAACAGCCAUUCAUGCAGCAUAUGACAGAAGUGCUAUUAUUGUCAGGGAGGGUACGGUGCCUGCGACUACAACUCACCACUCAAUCUAGACAGUUAGCUGAACAUAACACACUUGUAAUAAUAUUUAAAGCAUAAUAUCUGAUAUGUGUAUGAGAGUCUAAAUUCAUAUGACAUACAAGAUAAAACAAUGACUGUUACAUUAGAGACAUUAAUUCCUUUUAAGUUAGCUAAGAAAAUUGGCAGGUAGUUCUUAAAACUUGUUGGUAUACAAAUCUCUUUCUGCUGCUGGAAAUCCAGCAGCAGUGUUCAGACUUCAGGCGAAAGAGCUCACAAGCUGCCCACAGACCCAUAGUCCUCAGGUGAUAAAGCAGGGGAAAGAGCCCUCACUUAUUCCAAGUGCUCUGCAACAUUUUGAAAAAAACUGAUGUGAAUCGUAGGGACAAGGGGGCACAGUGCCGAUACUAAUAUGCCCUACAGAAUUAAUUUGGGUGCAAGGCCAUGAUGAUGCAGCUAUACUGUCAGGGGUUGCAGACAUACUUCCUUUGCAGUUAGCUGAGACAGUUAGCUGGACUGUUUUCCACUGCCCAGUGUACAAAAUGCCCAAUGUUUAUACAGUCCUUAGCAAAAUAGGCUAAUAUUCUUGAUUGGCCUCAAAACAGCACAGUGAUUCUAAUUAUAAAUACCAGGGAAGUAAAUGAUCACAGAAGGCAUUUGAUGUAUUUUUUCCAGCAUGCAACAGCAAUACCAGUACGUACAAGAGCACAAUGCAAUCAGAUUCUGAUGUAUGCAAUAUAUUUUUAACACAAUGGACUUGAUCCAGACAUUUCUGGCACCUUCUUCUAUUGUCUUUCAUCACUUUGCAGUGAAGUCAUUCAUGUAGGGCACUCCAGACUUGAGGUGGUUAUGGUCCAGUGCUGAAAUUAAUGUUGAAUAAAAAUCAAGUUAGUUAGUACGGAUUAAAUAACUGUUAGGCAAACAAAUAUUUGUUUAUGUAAAGAAACAAUCACUGAAUAGAUGAAGUAAGUCAUUUUUGUGCCUGUCUUCAUACAGUGUGCUGCAAAAUAAAUGCAGAUCUGAGAGAGAGAGA